rnacentral:misc_RNA from 1 species
GGGCUGUUAUGGAAUUCGAGUAUUUGGCUCAUGACAGAACAGGUGUUAAGUUGCCAAAAGCAAGUGAAGAGCUCGUCGAAACUCUUGAAGAUAAUCAGAAUCAAGUCCAAAAUAUGAUGUCAUCGAAGUUCAUUGGUUACUAUGAAGAGGAAGUAACAGCGUGGCAGAAGAAGCUGGGAACAGCUGAUGCCGUUAUAGCUCUAUGGUUCGAAGUGCAACGUAAGUGGCAGU